ACCCAAAACAGACAACAGGACAAUAUGUCACUUUCGCGAGCCGCUACCAUUUUCUAGUACGACGAUUUUUUGGCCUUUUGGCCUUAGGUAAACUAUGCGUCAAAAUGCGACGCUCUAUUAGGAGAACGGGUUGAGCCAUAUUAUUCUUCUUGCUGGUCCGUACAGUUUGCAUGAAAGGUUUAUCCUCCCUUUUGCCCGAAACACUAUGCGUACUAGUGGCUUUAGGUAUUGUAUGUACUUGCUCUAUAAAUCAAUCAGAAUGUUUGUAACUUCAUCUAUGUAUGUACUUUUCCUAAAUAAAGUAUUAUUAUGACUACACAGAGCCAUAUUUACAGUCAGUGAUCAUCUCGGGCUGCGGCUGGCAGCGAGGCGUCCGACCCCGCCACCAGCCGCUCUGCUCACACGUAACUUCAUGAGCUAAACCACAAUAUUUGUGCCGCCUUCACCGACCUCUUUAUGUAAACACUUAACAGCGACGACCAGGAGAAGCUAAAACCUGAACCAGAAGAGAAUUAUGAAGUCAUAGACGUCACAUACUUUGUGUUCACCUUCAGGUGAAGGUGACACUUGAGGCUCGAGGUGUUGCCUACCUUACUUGAAGGUCGAGGACGCUGGGUCCCUCGUCUGGUGAGGUCAGACGAGGACGCUGGGUCCCUCGUCUGGUGAGGUCAGACGAGGACGCUGGGUCCCUCGUCUGGUGAGGUCAGACGAGGACGCUGGGUCCCUCGUCUGGUGAGGUCAGACGAGGACGCUGGGUCCCUCGUCUGGUGAGGUCAGACGAGGACGCUGGGUCCCUCGUCUGGUGAGGUCACACGAGGACGCUGGGCACCUCGUCUGGUGAGGUCACACGAGGACGCUGGGCACCUCGUCUGGCAUGGCUGACACGACACUGACCGCGACACACACAAACUUGUAAGCAGAAGCAUUAGGUGAAAAGAGCGUGCCCAACCAGCUGGAAUAAAACUCUCCAGCUUGAGAAAAUCAUCAGAACAAAUGGAGGGGGGGACGUUUGACAUGCCGCCGGCUUUCUGUCCUCGUUGAAGCCACUAGUGUUAGUGGCUCCAAGCAUGAGCUGCCAGCGUCACACAGGUGCAGGGAUAACUGCGCCAGGUGCUCUCGUGAUCAGCAAGGUGCCUGGACGAAGACUUCGCUGGUAUGAAGCUGUCUAACUCUUUAUGUUAGCUCAAAAAGAGGGCAACAGGCUCAAUGAUCUGUACUGCACAUUGAUCCGUACCGUACAAUGAUAUAUUACAAUGCCCGACAGAUCACUGGAACAUUAUCUAACACAGUGCAGAGUUACAAACCCAUUAAGAUUUCAACUUAGAUUCAACAGAGCAGAAGAAGUUGUUAAACACGUGGGACAAAUCUUACUGAAGCGACCAUACGAAUCAUAAAUACUCAUGCUCCGCCCAAGUAAAACAGAAACAAGCAACACUUAGUGGGCCAGCCAGAGGCUCAGGGCCCGCGCAGGAAUAUCCCUGAAAAAAUUACAUUGGCAUGAUGUAUCUAUGAGAAAAUCUCUGGGAGCAAUGCAAUGGAGUUGAACUUACGUCUUGGGUUACGUAAUACGUGUGUCUGAGGUCACCUAGGACACAAGUUUGACGCUACUGCAUUGCUCCCAAAAUCAUUUUCUCACGAUCUACUGUCAAUUGUCACUGAGUCUUGCCUUCCGAGCGACACCGUUGACUGCGGAGUCCUCAUCUAUAAUUUGGAGUGUACCUAGUGGGAUCAGUGGUGGUGGAUCAAUAGUAAUUACUGUAUAGUGAGGAUAUUAUGUGGGUUGGAUGCAGACUUGAUAUUAGUGUAAUUAAUAGGUUUAUUGACUUCUGGCAUUAAUGUGGGGAAAAUACCGUGAUUAUGUUGAUAAAGAGGAAAUGCAUAGGACAUGGAAAAUUAAGUACUGUAUAUAUUACCGUUGAAUACUAAAAUAAAGUCUAAUUCUUAGCUGAAGGGCAAGUGUGCUAUGUUGGGUUGUAAGUCCACUCGUCUGUGUCCUUGAUACUGGUAAUGGGCUGUAGCUGGUAAGGUCCUCAAGGCACAGCUGGCUCAUUGAUUGUAGAACAACAAUAUACCUGCGGGUAUUCCAACACAUUUAGUUUGUAUAUUUUACAAGGAUAAAUUGAUAAAGACAGUUCUAUAACUGUAAACACUGCUAGGGUCCAUGAUCAAAGAUCUGAACUAGGUAUAUAAUUUAACCUAGCUCUAGAAAUAUUGUAACAGCCAAUUAUCAAUUGUUCUGAUACUCUCAUCAAAGUAAUUGUAUAAUACAAGGAUAAUGCAUAGGCAAUAUGCAAAGGAAAUAGUAUAUGCAAUAAAAUAAAAUAAUUUGAUAAAUUAAGAUUAAUGGAUGUGGAAAUUAAAUAUAUGAUGGGUAAUACUAAAGAAUUAUAUACACAUGAUAUAAAUAUUCAGCAAUAAAAGAGGUUUAGUUACUGAAGAAGGUAAAUCAACUCAUUAAUUGGUGAGGAAGUGCCUCGCUGCCUAACGACUCUCAAUUUAUAUAUGAAUGUAUUAAUGUCAUAAAGCAUACUAUUGGCCAAUCUACGCUCAAAACAAAUAAUAAUUUAUCCUGAAACUGAGAACCGGAGCCUAACCUGGCAAGUUAUCAGACUGUAUGACCUCUCAGGAGAUUGGUUCUGUAUUUUUUAUGAAGACAAGGCAGCGUGAUGCUGAUUGAGUUCCAUAGUAGUGUUUGCUGUGGGAUGGAUACUUGUGGCAGUGCUAAGGAUUAAAUGAUGGUGGAAGCUUGGCAAGUCUCUGGGUACAUGAGUCCACUCUCUCUACUCUUAAUGAGUUCUUAUGAACAAAUUCUAGCUUAGAUUAUAGAUCAGGGACUCCCAGAAUAUCUAGGUAGUGAUUACUGGUAAUGUAACAAGUAGUUUGUGCGGCAGUGCCCACUGAAACUGUCCUCUUCUUCUCUUCUUGAUAGUAGGUGCAGUUUGCAUUGAGGGAUUGUCCUCCCGAUGACUACACCAGUACACAUGUUGGGAGAGGCGUUUAUGUUGAGAAUGAUUAGAGCUUCAAAAGUUUUUGUUGUGUUGUGCUGUAGAUAGAGGAGCGGCGACUAAAAUAGAGGUGUAUGUUAGAGGGAGACUUACCGCACCGUAGGACGGUGUGUUGUGUUGAUGGCGUCAGCUGAUCCAUGAUGUUGUGACGAGGCAUUUGUUUUCCGUGCUUAGCUCUUGGUGGCGCCAGGGAUAAAUGUGGCGCGGGUCAGGUGUGGCCCAAUUUUUUGGUCGACUGGAGAUAUUUAGCCAGUGCUUUGACCAUUUGGUACAACCAACGACCUUAG